rnacentral:tRNA from 1 species
AGGCACAUAGCUCAGUUGGUUAGAGCACCACCUUGACAUGGUGGGGGUCGUUGGUUCGAGUCCAAUUGUGCCUC